ACUAAGCGUACACGGUGGAUGCCCUGGCAGUCAGAGGCGAUGAAGGACGUGCUAAUCUGCGAUAAGCGUCGGUAAGGUGAUAUGAACCGUUAUAACCGGCGAUUUCCGAAUGGGGAAACCCAGUGUGUUUCGACACACUAUCAUUAACUGAAUCCAUAGGUUAAUGAGGCGAACCGGGGGAACUGAAACAUCUAAGUACCCCGAGGAAAAGAAAUCAACCGAGAUUCCCCCAGUAGCGGCGAGCGAACGGGGAGCAGCCCAGAGCCUGAAUCAGUGUGUGUGUUAGUGGAAGCGUCUGGAAAGGCGUGCGAUACAGGGUGACAGCCCCGUACACAAAAAUGCACAUACUGUGAGCUCGAUGAGUAGGGCGGGACACGUGGUAUCCUGUCUGAAUAUGGGGGGACCAUCCUCCAAGGCUAAAUACUCCUGACUGACCGAUAGUGAACCAGUACCGUGAGGGAAAGGCGAAAAGAACCCCGGCGAGGGGAGUGAAAAAGAACCUGAAACCGUGUACGUACAAGCAGUGGGAGCCUCUUUAUGGGGUGACUGCGUACCUUUUGUAUAAUGGGUCAGCGACUUAUAUUCUGUAGCAAGGUUAACCGAAUAGGGGAGCCGAAGGGAAACCGAGUCUUAACUGGGCGUUAAGUUGCAGGGUAUAGACCCGAAACCCGGUGAUCUAGCCAUGGGCAGGUUGAAGGUUGGGUAACACUAACUGGAGGACCGAACCGACUAAUGUUGAAAAAUUAGCGGAUGACUUGUGGCUGGGGGUGAAAGGCCAAUCAAACCGGGAGAUAGCUGGUUCUCCCCGAAAGCUAUUUAGGUAGCGCCUCGUGAAUUCAUCUCCGGGGGUAGAGCACUGUUUCGGCAAGGGGGUCAUCCCGACUUACCAACCCGAUGCAAACUGCGAAUACCGGAGAAUGUUAUCACGGGAGACACACGGCGGGUGCUAACGUCCGUCGUGAAGAGGGAAACAACCCAGACCGCCAGCUAAGGUCCCAAAGUCAUGGUUAAGUGGGAAACGAUGUGGGAAGGCCCAGACAGCCAGGAUGUUGGCUUAGAAGCAGCCAUCAUUUAAAGAAAGCGUAAUAGCUCACUGGUCGAGUCGGCCUGCGCGGAAGAUGUAACGGGGCUAAACCAUGCACCGAAGCUGCGGCAGCGACACUAUGUGUUGUUGGGUAGGGGAGCGUUCUGUAAGCCUGUGAAGGUGUGCUGUGAGGCAUGCUGGAGGUAUCAGAAGUGCGAAUGCUGACAUAAGUAACGAUAAAGCGGGUGAAAAGCCCGCUCGCCGGAAGACCAAGGGUUCCUGUCCAACGUUAAUCGGGGCAGGGUGAGUCGACCCCUAAGGCGAGGCCGAAAGGCGUAGUCGAUGGGAAACAGGUUAAUAUUCCUGUACUUGGUGUUACUGCGAAGGGGGGACGGAGAAGGCUAUGUUGGCCGGGCGACGGUUGUCCCGGUUUAAGCGUGUAGGCUGGUUUUCCAGGCAAAUCCGGAAAAUCAAGGCUGAGGCGUGAUGACGAGGCACUACGGUGCUGAAGCAACAAAUGCCCUGCUUCCAGGAAAAGCCUCUAAGCAUCAGGUAACAUCAAAUCGUACCCCAAACCGACACAGGUGGUCAGGUAGAGAAUACCAAGGCGCUUGAGAGAACUCGGGUGAAGGAACUAGGCAAAAUGGUGCCGUAACUUCGGGAGAAGGCACGCUGAUAUGUAGGUGAAGCGACUUGCUCGUGGAGCUGAAAUCAGUCGAAGAUACCAGCUGGCUGCAACUGUUUAUUAAAAACACAGCACUGUGCAAACACGAAAGUGGACGUAUACGGUGUGACGCCUGCCCGGUGCCGGAAGGUUAAUUGAUGGGGUCAGCCGCAAGGCGAAGCUCUUGAUCGAAGCCCCGGUAAACGGCGGCCGUAACUAUAACGGUCCUAAGGUAGCGAAAUUCCUUGUCGGGUAAGUUCCGACCUGCACGAAUGGCGUAAUGAUGGCCAGGCUGUCUCCACCCGAGACUCAGUGAAAUUGAACUCGCUGUGAAGAUGCAGUGUACCCGCGGCAAGACGGAAAGACCCCGUGAACCUUUACUAUAGCUUGACACUGAACAUUGAGCCUUGAUGUGUAGGAUAGGUGGGAGGCUUUGAAGCGUGGACGCCAGUCUGCGUGGAGCCGACCUUGAAAUACCACCCUUUAAUGUUUGAUGUUCUAACGUGGACCCGUAAUCCGGGUUGCGGACAGUGUCUGGUGGGUAGUUUGACUGGGGCGGUCUCCUCCUAAAGAGUAACGGAGGAGCACGAAGGUUGGCUAAUCCUGGUCGGACAUCAGGAGGUUAGUGCAAUGGCAUAAGCCAGCUUGACUGCGAGCGUGACGGCGCGAGCAGGUGCGAAAGCAGGUCAUAGUGAUCCGGUGGUUCUGAAUGGAAGGGCCAUCGCUCAACGGAUAAAAGGUACUCCGGGGAUAACAGGCUGAUACCGCCCAAGAGUUCAUAUCGACGGCGGUGUUUGGCACCUCGAUGUCGGCUCAUCACAUCCUGGGGCUGAAGUAGGUCCCAAGGGUAUGGCUGUUCGCCAUUUAAAGUGGUACGCGAGCUGGGUUUAGAACGUCGUGAGACAGUUCGGUCCCUAUCUGCCGUGGGCGCUGGAGAACUGAGGGGGGCUGCUCCUAGUACGAGAGGACCGGAGUGGACGCAUCACUGGUGUUCGGGUUGUCAUGCCAAUGGCACUGCCCGGUAGCUAAAUGCGGAAGAGAUAAGUGCUGAAAGCAUCUAAGCACGAAACUUGCCCCGAGAUGAGUUCUCCCUGACUCCUUGAGAGUCCUGAAGGAACGUUGAAGACGACGACGUUGAUAGGCCGGGUGUGUAAGCGCAGCGAUGCGUUGAGCUAACCGGUACUAAUGAACCGUGAGGCUUAACC
rnacentral:rRNA from 1 species